rnacentral:lncRNA from 1 species
GUUUCACUCUUGUUGCCCAGGCUGGAGUGCAAUGGCACAAUCUUGGCUCACUGCAACCAAGAGAAGAGGGGGAAAGAAAGGAGAAGGGGUGGAAGGAAGAUGGAAGAGCAGGAGCAGCUCCAAGAAAACUUUCCGCUUUGCCACCUGGAAUGUCCACCCAGGAUAAAAAGAUCCAAGCUCUUCUGAGACUGUCUUUUGACCUUCUAGAAUGCAGAGACAGGACGGGGAUUGUGCCCUGAAAGAUCCUCCCAAUAAAGAUCUCCCUUUGAGUCGACCACAGUGAGUGAUCCCGGUGAAAUCAGCGCUCAGGUGCUGGGGGCAAAAAGACCUGGGCCUCUGUGUUCCUCUCUUGAGUUCUUG